AGUUCAUAUAAUUAGCAAAGAACGAAAAUAGUAAGGAGUUAGAAGUCCUCUCAACGUACAAUAUGAAGUUAUGGUGUUCAUGAUAUUGAUUUUUUUUUUUUUUUUUUUUUGUAUUUGUGAUUGUCAGCUCUUUCUAAUAAAAAGGAUUAAAAUUAAAAAUGCCAAAAAAUGCACAAUCAACCAAUUAGUUAAGACUUAAGACAGUUGACACACUUUAAGAGACUAGAAUUCAUUUUUUAACCCGGUAGAUCCCCCUUGUGUUUGGUAACAUUUCUGGAGCCCCACAGAAGCAUUGUGCCAGUACUCGGAAAAUAUACUAUAUUUUGGAGGUAAAAUACAGUUUAUAGUAUCAUCCGAUAUCGAUAUAGAUAGAUGUAAAGACAAAAAUUCUACAGUAUUUAGAUAUAUAUAUAUAUAUAUACCAAAUCAAUACCACUGAGAACCGGUUAAGACGAGCAUCUUGCGACUGUUACAAUAUAGAACUAUAUAAUAGGUUUAAUUGCCUUUCAGGUAAUAAGCGGGACCAGGAAGAACGAAGAGAAAUUAAAUUACCCACAAAAGAAAUGAUGACAGAAUGCGAUUUCAGGAGAAACAAUGCACAAAAAGUUCAAUAAAAAACACAAUUUCUACGGACUAAAUGAGCAAAAACUGAAGUAAUAAGAAACAUUAAUAUACCAAGAACGUCCUGAAUCACAUCUGCGCCAAGUUGAAAUCCCUCUCCAAGCAUUUUAAACAAGAACUCCCCAAGAUCACUGUUUAUAGGGUCCUUGACUGUAGUAGAGUCCAAUAACACGCCCUCCUCUUUAACCUCAUUCAGCUGAAACUCACUCAGAUUCACUUUCAUUGGUUUGGCAGCUUGACAUGGUCCAUUUGACAAUGUUCUGGGUUUAGAAUACUCUUUUCCAAUAACGCUUGAAACAGUACCAAUUGAAACAGAAUGCUUUUUCGGUUUUAAUGUUGUAAGAUUCCUAUCUGCAAAUGUCUUGGAUAUAUUCUCUGAUAACUGUUCUGACAGAACAACAGCCCUCGGUCUAUGACUGGUUACAUGAGUAGGGGCAGCACUGGGCAAACAUUCUUUUGGUUCAGAUAAAAUCUCAGCAGCCACUUCAUAAUUGCGACCAGCCUUACAAAAAGCUGCAGCUAUCUCCCUCAGAUCAAAUGCACAACCAAAGAUAUCGAGUAACCCCUCCAAAGCUCUUGUUUCAUCAUCACGCUUUACAUUGCAUGAGCUUGAUGCCUCCAUUUCAAUUAUACUUCAAAGAAAAACAGCACAAUUUUUUAUUACAAAUCAAAAUUACAAGAACACAUAAGAUGAUGAAUGCAUUUAUUACAAAGUCAUUAGAUAAUGUACUUAUACAAAAAUAUUAACAAUAGUUUUUGAUAUUUCACUGCUUUUGUGUAUAAAUCGAGAAAAGCAUGGAAGUCAUCCAUAUAUAUAAGUGGAGACGUAUAAGGCUCUAUAGUCUAUAGCCAUUGGUAAUCUGUUUCUGAAACCGUUAUCUCUAUCACUUCCUCCUCUUUAUAAUUAUGUGCUUAUUUUGAUCCUUUUGUCCUUCUGUGUAGUGUGAAAAUUACAAGGUUGGAUCUCGUCAAUCAAGCUAAACCUUACCAAGUAAUGAAUCUAUUGGCAGCCAAAGCAAGAGAAGAUAACAAGAAAAUAACAUUGAUAGACAAAUUUACUAUGUUAACUCUUUCCUUGCAAGAACAGAUAACCCAGAAAUAGCCAAUGAGUACAACGUAUAAUAAUUAACGCUCCAUGAACUUCCUUACAUGAUAAGAUCUCCUGUAUACAAAAACAACUUUAACUCUAUUCUAUACAAACACAGUUUCUGAUGUGAACAUCAAUCAUAGAUAUGAUGAAUACUCUCUUAACCAUGAAAAUAAUUUGAAAAAAAAAAAAUCAACAAAAUCUCUCCUAAACCUUCAACAUUAAAUCUCAAACAUACAAAUAAACCAUCUCAUUCAUUCAAUAAUAAUAUCAACAUAGAUAUAUCACUAUUUAAUCUAAAUAACUGGAAAGAUAUAGAGAAUCAACUCAAUUGAAUGAUUUUUUCAACGAAACUAAGUAGAAAUCUCUACAAAUCCAACAAUGUUGAUGUUCAAUUCAAAUUCAUGGCAUUAGGUUAAGAAAGUUAGGUAAAUCGAUGAACAUUUUGAUCAAAAUUAGGUCAAUCUACGAAUUACUGAAACAACUUCUUCAAUUCAAAUCGAAAUAAAAUCGAGAGAAAGGAUAAUGCUUACUCGAAGUAGGUUUUAGUCUCUAGAGCGCCAGAUUGAAAGAAAACAAUCGAGACGAAGAAACAAUUCUCUCUCUCUCUCUCUUGCUUCUUCUCGAAGAAACUAAUAGUAGACUAGAGAGAGUGAAAUGCGAAAUGAAUGAUGAAAAGUUGUUCUGGAAUUUAUAAAGUUGCUUUUUAGAGAGCGAGGCGAUAAUCGCCACUUAUAGCAUAGCAAAUUGACGAAGUACGUCUUCCUUAGAUCUGAACCGUAGCAAAAAUGUCGAGAUCAAUAUCAUAAUGAUUUGAGGACGACAAUAAAUUUUAUUUGGCGCUCUUUCACCAAUUUCUCUCUAUAAUUAAAAUCCAAAUUAAGUGCACGCUAUUCGUGUUUCAUUUUGUUGGUCCACGGUAGUUUAGUUUACUUAUGUAUUAACCUGAUUCCAGAUUAAUGUCAUUAAGUCGUUGUGUACUCAAGAUGGAAAAUUUGAGAUCGAGGGAUGGCUGCAUCUCGUGAGGUCGAGAUUGUUUAUGUACUCUAUCUCGAGGGAGUGGAACUUCGAGAUCAAGCCAUCUUAGUUAUGUUUUUUUAUAGAAAAUAAAAAGGUGUAAAUCAUGGGAUCAAUUCUCCGACAUCUAUUAAUUACAUGAUAUUCAGUAAUUAAUGUGUAACGAAAGAGGAUAUUUAUUGAGCAUUGAUUUAGCGCACAUGUUUGUAUCGAGGUCGUCAAUGAUCAUAUGCUUGAGUUGCUUUAGUCGGAUUAUAAGAGGUCGUGGCAUGGGCAAUCUGAUUAAUAGAAGUAGUAUACCAUGUGUCGUAGUUGUAAUUGGAUCUGGUGAAGCCAAGCGCAUGACAUGUUUGAUUUUAAAUACUUUGUGUCUUUAUUUCCAUGGUGUUAUUAUUGAAAAUAUAUCUUCUAUAUAAUAUUAUAAGGCGGUCUUAUAAACACAGCCGUUAGAUGUCUAUGGAGACAACCAUAACUAUUGGAUGUACAUUAAAUUAUAUAAUCGAUGUAAUAAGUUGAAAUAAUAGCCCUUAGAUGUUCAAAAUUCGAUCUUAACAAUUAGUUGACUAUUGAGACAAUCGUAGUCAUAGGAUUAAGAGUUUUAAUUGCUAACACAUUAAAUUUCAAAAAUAUAACCUAUGGAUUAAUUAAUAAUACUAAAUAACCAAUAUUUAUAAGACAUGGAGAACUAAAACCAUUGUAAUAAAUUCAUUUUUGAAAUAAUAAUGAAAAUAUUGAAACCAAUGAAUCUUUGGAUUAAUUAAGGCUCCAGAUUUUGCCAAUGAAUAAUUCUUGGUAUUACAUAAUUGCCCUCAAUUAGUUUAAUUUAAAAUUUGACUAUUUAGUAUUCACCAAAUCUUGGAGAAAUCUAUUAAUGUUUUACCCAUAUAAGGAUCAUACAAAAAUUUUAUAAUUAAAUUUUUUAUUUUAAAUCUCUAAUUUUGGAUUUAUAUUUAUUUAAAAUACUUAAAAAAAUAGUUUUUAUAUAAAAGUUUAAUAAAUAGAAAAUGAAAAAAGAUUCACUUUCAUUAUUGAUUGGUUUAAUCAAAAUUUUGAUAUGUAAUUGGGAAGAGAAGAAUCAAACAAUUUUAGUGAAUCGAGAGAUUUGAUUUAACAGAUAUUUUGAUUUUUAAGAAUCUAAAUUCUAAAAAAUUAAAAGUGGUUUUUGAACAACAAUUGUCAUAUUUAUGGUAAAACAAUUGAGGGCAAUUGUGUCAUAUCAAAAAAUUAUUUGUAAUUAAAUUUUUUAUUUGAAAUCUCCAAUUUUGGAUUUAUAUUUAUUUAAAAUACUUAAAAAUAGUUUUUGAUGUAAAAGUUUAAUAAAUAAAAAAUAAAAAAAAAUUCACUUUCACUUUCACUUUCAUUAUUCACGUGCUAUUGUUAUUUCUGAUCAAAGUAAAAGAUAUAUCAACUACAAUAAACACAAAAGUAUAUUAGUUGGGUGCAACAAAUAAAAAAUAUUAAGUCAAAAUUUAAAAUAAAUAUUUAAUAAAAAUAUAGAAAAAAAUAUAACUGGUUUACAACUGGUCUGAAGGUAAACGCGCAGUUUGUAGCGCGUUUGUCCUCUACUUUUGUGUAAUUCGUUGAGCUUAUCAAUAAAAUUUAUUUAAAAAAAAAAAAAAAAAAAAAAACUGACCUUGAUAAUGGUGAAUAAAAAACUCAAAAAAAAAUAAAUUAAAAUAAUAAUAAUUAAAGUAAUCGUGCCGUAGGCACAAGUUAUAACUAGUAUCACAAUAUCACACAUCUUUUUUUUUUUGGCUAAACUAUCGAGUUAUGCAACAAAGUAUGGUCGAAUUCCCAACUUAUGCAACCAACUAAAUUAGGUUUAAAAUCAUCAAAACAUUGCCAACGUUGGUGUUGACGGACUCAGUGCUCUAUACUGAGUCACACCGAUUUCACCCCAAAAUCUACUCCUUUUUUCUUCAAUUUCUCACUCUUUCUUUCUAAAUCAAUCCAAAUCACUUCAAGACUGUGAUUUCGAGUUGUUAUGAUUUAAUUGGUUGAGAUGUUGGUUUGAAAGAUGGAUUGUGGGUGACUUUACUCAUCAUCCUUCUCUUUCACUCUUCUCUACAAUUACACAUCAAGGUCGCGAUACAUCGUUUUGGUGGUUUUGUUUUUGAGGGUUAGAGAGAAAUUUGUUGGUGAAAUUGCAGGAAUGGGGUAGACAAAGGCUGUUUGUGGUGUUGUUAGGGUUUUAAGUCCUCUAUCUCUUCUUGUGAUUUUUUCUCUUGAUGAUGGAUUGAUCUUGUGUGGAGUUCAUUUUUUUCUUGUGUCAAAUCAUAAAGAUUGUUGGUUUCUUUUGGUCUUAUUACUGAUCUCUUAAGAAGUUCUUUUUUAAUUUGUCUCUACUGUUGAUUCUUCAGGUAUUUUCUUGCUUCUAUUUUGGUACAAGUUUCUCAUUCUAGAUUUCUCCACCUUUUUUUUCUAUCCAUCUCUUUGUGUGUUUUUUUUCCUUUCUUAGUUUGUUGUUGUUUUUGUAUACCCUUUCCCCUGGUACUUGCCAAGUACCAGGGGAAAGGAUGAAUCUUGCUAUAAAUCUGUCUGAUUCUUUCAUCCAAAUCCAAUGUCUGUCUCAGUUGGUUUUGAACUAUAUGGUGAAGUGGUGUUCCUUCUGGGUGUACUCUUUCUUUUGGCUGCAACACUGGUUGGGCAUGAUUUCUCUUCUCAGGUUAGCCGAUGGAUUAAACACACCAAACUUUUGUUGUUUGGAACGUGUAGGGUUUGCCCUUUUUGGACGCCUUAUGGUAGCGUCUGGCGGCGGGGUAGAUGUUUUGCAUUUACUCUUACCCACCCCUAGGAUCUUUCCUGUUUGGAUCCUCUCUUGUUUCUCAGGUCUUCUUCUGGUUCUUUGGAGUUCUUUGGGAAAGGCGUGUCCUGCCAUGUGGUGGUUCGACUGGAAGUUUAUGCUUGUGAUUGAAUUUUACUUUCACUAUUAUGGUUUGAAGCCAAUUUUCGAUCGACUUGGGACUUUGCAGGAAUCUAAGAUUUAUAAAAGAUUUGGUUUGUAUAUUUGUGUAAAUGGUGGUGUUUCGGUUAUGUUUGCGCCGAUCAGCAGGUCUUGUAUAAAUGCUUGUGUUUUCAAUAAAUAAAAGUUAAUUUGCUAACAAAAAAAAACUUUCAAGUUUUCUCAAUUUAUGCAACGUCGUCAAAUGAAAUCUAACGGAUGUUAAUUUUUUGCUGACCGGAUAAUUUUUAAUAUUAAAAAAUAUCUUCCCCCCAAAAUAUAAAUAAAUAAAUAAAAUAAAAUUGGCUCUAUCUCAAAAGAAGAUAAGUCUUGGGUUUUCAAACCCCCAUUUUCAAUUUUCUACUUCUCACUCUCUUGGAUUCAUCAAAUCGAACUUAAAAUCUUAGUUUAUUAGUUUAUGGUUGUUUUGAGGUUUAAAAUAAGCUCUUGUUUAAUUUUGGGUUUAAAAUCUUUUUUUUUUUUGCUUACUUUACACAGUAAGCAAUAAAUUAUCUCACUACAAUUAGCAAUAAAUUAUUAGACAAUCAACAAUAAAAAAAAAAUACAGUCAACAAAACCUAACGUUUGAUUAAGGGAUUGUUAACGACAUUGCAUAAAUUACAAAAACUUAAAAGUUUAUUGAUGAUUUUAAAUAUAAUUUAUUUGAUUGUAUAAGUUGAAAAUUCGACCCUAUUUUGUUGCAUAACUCCAUAGUUUAGCCUUUUGGUAAAAGCAAUAUCACACUGUGGUUGUCCGUGGUGGCCUGCAGCAAAAUGCCUCUGGAAAAUUCCAAACUCACGAGAAAAAAAGUUGUACUAGUUAUAUUUUGGUUUUUAUAUUAUUGAUUGACUGAUUGGGUUUGGGGCUUUGCCGCUGUGGGCAUAUUGAAACUUCAUCCAUGACCAUUGAUCCAUUGUGACAGCUGCACAGGAGCACAGUAUGUUAGUGUAGCUAUUCAUUUGUGUUUGGGCCUAAAACGUUGGACCCUUUUUCAUAGUCCAUUCUAGAAAGUUUGACAAGAUAAACCGCACCCGCACCCACACCCACCGUUUCCGGUUUACAAAUCGUUCCAAUUGGGUAACCAACCACUGACGCCCGUUAUAUUUCUCCCCUUUGUGUCUAUAUAAACAGAGAGGAGCAAAAACCCUAAAUAAGAAUAGCUCAGAUGAGCUCCAUGGUAUUAGUGCCGCCAGGCGCUAGAUGAAAACUUUAUCUCUACAUGUUUUGUAUUGUAUUGUAUUGGCUUGUAUAGUUGUUUCUUCAUCUGUUCUUUUUCUGUUUUGGAUCGAUGAUGUUGCAUAAAUUACUGCGUUAUCUUUCUGAUAAUCCUUUGAGGAAAGCUUUAAGUACGCUGAGAUCCAAAACGAUUCAUUUCUAUUUGUUUUCGUUUUUUUUUUUAUUGCUUGAUUGAUUUAUCAUUUUCCUCAACAUCAACAAAUUUCAAUUUCAAUACUUAAUCGUUGAGUGAUCCAAUUCCCAGAUUUAAAUCACAUUCAUUUAUUAGAGUCUGUUAGAUACUUAGAUUGGUUGCGGGAAUUCUUUAUAUAGGGGUUUGCCAUAAAAUUUACUAAAAUUUGGAGAUAAAAAGUUAGAUGAGGAUAGAUAAUAGAUGCCACCUAUUUGAUUUCUAAAUGCAAUUCUAAAUUUUAUGUUAGCAUGCCUGAGAUCUGUUUCCAACGAAGUAGAUACCAAGUUAUGACAUUGGUCUGCAUCUAGAUACCAAGUUAUGUUAUUGGUCUGCAUCUCACUAUAGCUCAGAGGUCUCUAGUUCCCAAAUAGCAAUGUUGAAUACAUUCUAGUUGUAGACCAGUUAGUAAACAAGUCCUCUUCUAGUAGGCAUAUUCUAUGCCAUUGCCAUGGUUUCUUUACUGACUUCCAAUGCUAUGGCCUGGACCUUUUUGCAAGGAUUAACACACUUUGUGUGGAUAGGAUUUUAACUGUUUCACACUGUCAGGCUUUCUAUGUAUUGUGCUGAGUUGAGUACAGUUCCACCACAAAUUAUAAUCGAAGUACCAUGAUGCAAAAUUUGUGUGAAAGGGCGAAGAUCACAGUAGCUUGCACCCCUCAGAUAUGGAACUUUAAAGAAUGUCUUGCAAUCCCUAAAUUUUCUUGCAAGAAAAUAAUUAUUGUUAAUGCACUUAGCCACCAACUAGUAUUAUCCAUUUACAUUGUUCUAGAUAUCUGGUUAGGGGUCUUAUUUGAGAGAAAUAGAAAAAAUUGCCCGCUUGGAUACUCAAAAUGAUAGUAUUAAGUAUUAACAACCACAACUAUUGUUUUGCAGAUACAUUUCAACAAACAAAUGAACAUCAAACAUGUGAAUCAGUACAAUUUUCAAAUUCAAAAGUCUAUGAUCAACAACUAAUCAGAUCAACAACUAAUCACUUCGACAAAGAUUCUCUACAUUACCUAAACAAUUGUUGGCUUUGUUAUACAGUUGAAUUUGCACAUUUUGCUGAGAACAAUGCGCCCUCUUCAACUAUCUACAACAUGUAUUUGAGAGUUACUGUUUCACUUUUGAGUAUUCUGUUCUCUGGCUCGGUAGAAAUGAAUCAACUUCAAACCUGCAACUGUUUCCUGCGGACAAUCAAAGGAAAUAUUUCAUACUUGAACAAAUAGGGCAAAAUAAGCUACAAUACUCUCAUACCCCUAACAAAACAAACCUGCACUCUUCCUUCAGACUGAUUAGGAAAUUUAAGGCCUACUGAACUUUUUUGUAAGAUUUCAGGACUUUUCAUCCAUUGUCGUUGCCCAUCUUUUAGUUUUAGCUUUUGAUUGAACAUCUGAAACACAAAUUAACAUACAAAAAUCAAGGAGGAUGUCAUAGGAAUUGGAUUGGAUAGUGUAAAUCAAGGAGGAUGUCAUAGGAAUUGGAUUGGGUAGUGUAAUAUAUGAACCUGAGAAAGACCGAUAGAUGGUUUCUCCAGCUGAUCUUUUUCAACAUGAAUGCCAGCUCCUUGACAUUCUGGACAGAAAACAGAAGAGAUGCUUUUCGGUUCAUGUCUCAUAAUAUCAUCUUUUUGCUUUGCAUUUCGCCUGGUACGAGUCUUGCUCCUUGUUUGAGGAGGAAUUUCUUCAGCAGGCAACUUAUUUGUCCAUUUCUCAAACUCACAUAGAAGCAUCCAGUGUAGCAGGCAGGAGGAGUGGAAUAAAUGAAAUGCCUAGUAUAAGAUAGAAGAUGUAAAAGAGUUAAGAUUUACAAUACCAUAGUAAACAAAGUGAAUUAUCUAAAAAGUUAGUGGAAUAAUACCCCAGAUGAGUUCCUACUGCUACAAGCAAGUCGGCCAGUCUUCAUAUUCAAUAGACAUGCAACAUCCUUUCCUGGAAGAAGUUUAACGUAACAGAUAUCACACGUUCUUUCAGCUGCAAGACGUUCUCUCUCCCUCAUUUCUUUUCUAAUGCGUCUCCGCGUGGACCUUGAGGCUGAUACCAAUUCUGAAGAGGUACCAUCCAGAAGCUGAUAAUCUUCCAAUGAACCAUCUCGUUCACUCAUAGAUGCACUAAUAUCCUCAGGAUCAGAGUAUGCUUUUCUCAUUCUCUUGUUCUUGCCUACUAUAUUCACAUCACCCAAGUAUUUACUAGAAGCAGACAAUCUUUCAAAAUCACCCAAGACAGGUUCUCGUCCCAAAUCAUAAUGAUAAGAAAAUAUCACAACACCAAAAUCAUGCUUUGGUAAUGGAAAUGCAACAUCCUCAUCAUUUUCAUAAUCAUUUUUCCCCAACCAAGCACACCAUAUUCGACUAAUGUCCUCAGGAUCUUUUUCAAGAAGUCUUGCACCGAUUUCACCAAACCCAAUUAGCUUCACAUUUACACUAGACUUUUGAUCAUUACAUAAAACGCCAGGAAUUACUAAAUCACAAUCCCCAACACCAGAAUUCACAUUACUAUCGACAACAGUAGACAUGGUAUUGUUAGAAAUCAAGAAGCUAUCUUUGUAAGAACUUGAAUGACUUUCUUGUUCAUGAAAGAAAAAGGCUCCAUCAUUAAAAGGCCAUGGAUUUGGAAGCAAAAGAGUAAGUUUGGCAGUUGCAAACCUAUCUCUGUGAAUAUGUCCUCUGAGAUGAUCAAACAAGGCUGUAUCACUGUAACAUGGAGAAUGACAAAGAACACAAAAGAAGAUAUAUCGCUUCCCAUCUUGCCUUAUCUCCACACAUACAUGCCCAUCUUUGUGAACUUGGCUAAGUGUUAACUUGGCCGCCUUUUCUCUAAGACUAGCAGCAGUAAUAUUUGAAAAAUCUUUUCUUCCCGCCAUUGAAAUCUUUCAAAAUUUGUUCUUCAAACAACUACAGAUCUAGUAAUUCUACUUGCAACCCCCUAAUAAAACUCAAAAUCCUCUAAAACAAAUCUCAGAAAACCCUAAAUCUCUACUCGACUAAAUUCUUCACAGAAAUCAACAAAUCGUACUUCAAAACACUUCAAAUUACUCAAGAAUCUUGAAUUUCAUAGAAAUUUCUUAACUGUUGAUAUUAGAAAAUCAACGAAACCCUAGAAAAUCUUUGAAAUCCAAGAAAGAAAGAAAGAAAAGAGAAAUUGUUUCGAGAAAUUAUUCAGUAAACACGAGGUAAAGAAGAAACACGAGGUAUACUUAUAGAAGUACCUUUAAAAGAUCCACGAAUUCUUCGUUCUUUUCCUGUAAUUAGUUCAUUAACACCAGAAAAAACAAUUGAAGAUCGAGAAUCUGCCAUAACCAUUUCCAUUAGUAAUAAAGAAAGAAAAAAGAGAUUUCGAGUUUAGAAGUUUCGAGAAGAGAGAGAGAGAGAGAAAGCAAGAAGAAGAUGGAAAGAGGUUGAAGAGAAGAAGAAAAAGAAGAACAGAGAAAGCAGAACAAAUGGUGAAGAAGGAGAAGAAAGAGAAAGAAAAUGUAAUGAGACAAACUUGUGUGAAAUGACUUUUUAAGUAAGAGCGAGAUUUGUGUGUAAUAUACAGGAGUUUGAUAUAAUGGAGACAGAUGUAACUUUAUUUGGUAGAGUGAUGGUUGAUUUGUUUAAAUCAUUUAAUGUAUAGGAAUAUAAACGGGUGUGGAUUCUGUAGUAAUUUAUUGAAGUGGAUAACAGAUGUAUGUUGUAAACGGAGAUGGAUAGAAUAUUCCGUAUCUCGAUGCUAUGAUUGAGUGGAUAAAGAUAAAGUAUUAGCUUUUGGUUUGUUGACGUAAUGACGUGUUAAUUUGGGCUGUUAUUAGGUAGCUGACAGUUAUAGAGACGGCAUUUGGAAGCAACUUACUGUACUUGUUUUUAAUUUCAGAGGUUGGGGAUUGACUGGACUCUUGUUAACUAUCAUUGAUGGUGUUUUCUCUAAGAUAGUGUUUGAUAACCGCGUUUUCCUAUGGUAAAUUGGGGUUUGCCUGUUAUUUUUGGUGUUUGUCAUCGUUUGAUAAUUUACUUGGGUGAUCAGGCAUUAUUUGCCCCAAUAUACCCGCACGUGAUCACAAAUUUACCCAAAUUUUCAGUUGAGUCCCCAAAGUUUACCUAACUUUGGUCCCCUAACUUUACCCAAAUUUUCAGUUGAGUCCCCAAAGUUUAAAUUGGUCAAUUUGGUCCCAAAUCUUUCAAAACGCAAAAUGGUCUCAUCGUUACCAAACAUUUAACAAUUCUUUUUUUUACAAAAUAGGUUCUAUUUUUACACAGUUUGGGUUUGUUUUCUAUUUUUAAAUAAUAUGAUGUUGCGCGUGCCACUCACGUGCUCUGCUGAUCUGGCAAAAAAAUAUAUUAAAGUUUGAAUUUAAAAGACCACGUGUGAUAGUAAACUGUCACUAGGCAACUUUGUUAGUGCUUGGUAACAGUGAGAUCAUUUUGCAAACGUUUUGAAAGAUUUGGGACCAAAUUGAGCAGUUUAAACUUUGAGGACUCAACUGAAAAUUUGAGCAAAGUUAGGGGACCAAAUAGCUAAUUGUUCCGCUUCAAGGCGGACAAAGUUUGCUUAACUCAACCCCAGGCAAAAUUUGUUUUGCCACUUAAACUGGUAAAAUUUGCCAGGUAUAAAUAGUAUUUUUGCAGAGAAAAAAUCCUAUUCUUCUAAACAAGAACUCAAACUCUUUCAUUGCAGCGCAUCAAAGGCGAUUGUGAAGGCGAAGGCGAUUGUGAAGGCGAUUCACUUCAAAAAGGUCAGAUUUCUUCUUCUUCUUCUUCAUUUCACUUCUUCAUUUUCUUUUAUACUUUUUUUGCAUAGAAAAAACCCUAUUUCACUUCUUCUUCGUCUCUGUUCAGUUGCUACAUUCUUGUUGUUGUUUAUUUCACUUUGUGGUCUUUGUUUAGUUGUCUCACUAUAUGUGUUGCUGUUGUUUUCGUUUUUUUAGAAGUUGAUUAUGUUUAGGGUUUUUCAAAUAUACAAUAAUUUCGGUGUAAUUUAAACAUAAAUUCACUUCAAUUGCAUUGAAUUGUAAUUUUUAGGUGCUGAACUGUUGAAAUUUUAAUUUUUUUUUUUCAAACCCUAACCUUAGAUUUUUAGGGUUUUUUGAAUAUACAAUAAUUUCGGUGUAAUUUCAACAUAAAUUCACUUCAAUUACAUCGAAUUGUAAUUUUUAGGUGUUGAACUGUUGAAAUUAAUUUUUUUUUCAAACCCUAACCCUUGAUUUUAGGGUUUUGUGAAUAUACAAUAAUUUUGGUGUAAUUUCAACAUAAAUUCACUUCAAUUGCAUUGAAUUGAAAUUUUUAGGUGCUGAAUUGUUAAAAUUUAAUUUUUUUUUUCAAACCCUAACCCUAGAUUUUAGGGUUUUUUUUUAUACAACAUUGUUUCAAUGUAAUUUGAACACAAAGUCACUUCAAUUGCAUGUAAUCGUAAUUUUAAAAGUGCUGAAUUGUUAAAAUUAAAUUUUUUUUUCAAACCCCAACCCUAGAUUUUUAGGGUUUUUUGAUACAACAUUGUUUCAAUGUAAUUUGAACACAAAGUCACUUCAAUUGCACGUAAUUGUAAUUUUAAAAGUGCCGAAUUGUUUAAAUUUUAAUUUUUUUUUUCAAACCCUAACCCUAAAUUUUAGGGGUUUUCUGAUACAACAUUGUUUGAAUGUAAUUUCAACACAAAUUCUCUUCAAUUGCAUGUGAUUGUAAUUCUUAACGGUGCUGAAUUGUUAAAAUUUUAAUUUUUUUUUCCAAACCUUAACCCUAGAUUUUUUUAGGGUUUUUGUUAUAUAACAUUAUUUCAAUGUAAUUUCAACAUAAAUUCACUGAAAUGAUGCAUGGAAUUGUAACUUUUUUACUGAACUGUUUAAAAAUUUCUACUGAUCAGAAAUAUUGCAUUUCAAAUUGAUAUGUUAUUGGAUCUGUUUGAAAAAUUAUAUUUGGGGGGUUUUAAUUAUAAUGCAAUAUAUUAGUAAUGUAUUUUAAAAAAAUGAGUAUAAUAUUGCAAACUUAAAAUUUAAUACUUUUUUGAAACCCUAUUGAAUACAUUACUUGGAUUCCAUUACUGUAAUGAUUUGUUGAUACUUGUUUUUAUUUUGCAGACGAGUUUCGUUUGUGUCAGGUUGGUUCUAUUUGUUUGACACUAUUUGUAUUUAUUUUUUGGAUGUUGUUUUUCAAAUUAUAUUUGUUGUACAACAACGAUUGAUAUAUCGUUUUUAUUUUUUGUAGACUUUCAUUUUCAUCUACCUCACUCUCAAUACCAGGUAUGACUUUAUUUUUAAAAUGUUUUGAAUAUGGUUCUAAACAAUGUAUUUAUUAGUAAUGUAUAUAGUUUUUGCCAGCUUUGCUCUCUCAUCCUGUUAGUCUCUUACUUUAUCUCGUCGUUCGUUGGCUCGCGUACUGUCUAGCUUAGCUGCUCAAGGUUAGUUGUUUUUCCGUUCUCAUAUAUUUAUUAUGCUGACAUAUUGUCACAAUUUUUUGUUGUUACUUUGUUAUAUUGUAAUUGUUUUAGCAUAUAAAUGCUAAUUAUAUAUUGCUGCGUUGUUUUUAGUAUCAAUUCUUUAGACUAAUAUAUUGCUACCAUGGUUAUUUUUUUUUUUAGAAUCACACUAUUUAGAACGGUUUAGAAUCACACUAUUUAUAACUGCUUAGAAUCACACUAUUUAUAACUGUUUAGAAUCACACUAUUUAUAACUGUUUAGAAUCACACUAUUUAUUAGAACUAUUCACAAUCACACGGUAUAUGUGAUUGUGACAACUAUACCUAAAAAUAAACCUCCUAUAUUCUAAUUAAAAAACAAAAUGAAAUAUGAAUUCAUAAAUUGAAAUCUGAUAACUCAUCCUGUUAAAAACUUUUUAAUUAAUAAUUUUCAGAUAAUGGGUAAGUAUUCUUAUUACGUUGUGCGCCGUGGGUUUUGUCCGGGUAUCUACACUACUUGGGAAGAGUGCAAGACACAAACAGACGGAUUUAGAAACGUUGAUUGGCGUGGUGCUUAUACUGUUUCUGAAGCAAGACAUUUGCUUCAACAACAACAUACAAAUGGAUUCUGUCAAUCAUCUCAUCCUAUGUGUGAUCCCCAACAUCUUUUGUCCCAACCUUUUAUUCAUGCGCCACAACUGUCCGAGCAAUCUGGUCAAUCUUACCAAUCUGUCGCUCAAUCUCAGGCACCUGUACUUCCACUAGUCGGUGGUCGACCCUUAAACAUUGGUGGAACAAACAAUGUUGUGGUGGUGGACGACUUUUGGUGGUUUGUCAAGAAGUUGGUGUUGGUGAUGCUAGUUGUUGUAAUUGCACUGUUGAUUAAGUUGUUAUUCGUACUGUGAGUUUCUAUGUAAUGAAUUUGUUAAAUUUGAUGAUGUAAAAAUUAUUAACCAUUUAAUUAAAAAUGCACUCUUAUUAACACCUAUGACCUUGUUAAAUUAUGAACCAGAAUGUUCUAACCAUUUAUGAAUUCAUAUAAUUGCUCCUAACCACUUUAAUGAUUAACGAUUAACCUUCUCCUAACCACUAAAUGAUUAACCUUACCGACCGCUUGUUAUGUAGAAUGUCCAGUGAGGAUCAACGUCUAGUUACAACCUAUGCUGUCAGGGGCGCCGCCUGAGCGCCGCCUAGGCGCUAUUUCUAAAGAAGGCCGCUCCGCUCAGCAAAAUUAGCGCCUAAAACGCCUUGGGCCGCCUGGGCGGCGCUCAGGUCCAGCGCUCUGUUAAGAGCGGCCCAUACAAAAGCGCUCAAAGCGGCCCAAAUAAAAAAAAACCCAAAACUUAAGCUAAAAAAAAAAAACCUAAAUCUUACGUUCUCUCUCUCUACCUCUGGUCUCUCUCUCACGUUCUCUCUCUACCUCUGGUUUCUGCAGCUGCUGCUACUUCUUCUCCGGCUCUGCUGCUGCUGCUAGUGUAAGUUCUAACUUCUAAAUUCUAAUCUUCUUCUAAUUUCCUAAGUUUCUUCUAAUCUUAUUCUAAUCUUCAUUCUUCCUAAAUCAAAUCCAAAUUGAUUCUUCUUCUUCUUUACAGUGUUUACUGUUCAUACUUAGUAAACAGUGUUUACAGUGUUUACUGUUCAGAAAAUUUUAAGGGAAAGAAAUACUGUUACUAAACUGUAAAGUGUCUACUGUGUGGUCUGAUCGGAGCGCCGCCGGAGCGCCGCCGGAGCGCCGCCGGAGCGGUUGAGGCGGUCCCCAGAAAUCUGAGCGUCUGGCGUUUCGCUCCGCCCUUGACAACAUAGGUUACAACUACUUUUGUAAUUGUAGUUGUGGACUGGUUAUUGCAAUAUCUUGUCUCGAACGCAAGACGUAAUCGUGUUCCUAGAGUUCCUAGGGCUCCCUAUACCUACAAUAGGGAUUCAGCGCGAGGCGCAACUUUAGCUCGUUUCUAUACUGAUAAUGACAAUGACUGCCAUGAGGCGUUUUGCAUUCCAUCGCUUAUGUGCUAGGUUGAAGACUAUAGGUUUAACCGACUCUCGGUACAUGUCGGUUGAAGAACAAGUUGCAAUGUUCUUGCUUAUAGUUGGUCACGACAAUCGGUGUAGAAGAACACAUUACGAGUUUAGGCGUUCUGGUCAAACUGUGAGUCAUUACUUCCACUUGGUCUUAAAUGCUUGCAUAGAGUUGUACAGGCAAGUGGUUGUCAAUGCUACUGAUCAGAACUCGCCCCUCGCUAAUGGUGCUUGCAAUGUAUUUUGGCAUCAGUAUUUCAAGGUUAUAAAAAUUUUCGUGCCCAUCAAUGAUCAACCAAGGUAUCGUAACCAGAAGGGAGUGAUUUCUCAAAAUGUUCUAGUCGUGUGUACGUUCGACAUGAGAUUCACUUAUGUUCUGGCUGGAUGGGAAGGCUCGACGCAUGAUGGCCAGUUGUUGAGGUGUGCGGUUACUUGCCAAGGAAGACGGUUAACCUUGCCCAAGGGCAAGUAUUACCUUGCGGAUGCGGGCUUCGCAUUAAGUCCUGGCUUCCUCACACCUUAUCGUGGCGUCCGAUACCAUGUCAAAGAAUAAGGACAUCGCGCCGUAGAAACUGAUGAAGAGUUGUACAACUGUCGGUAUUCCAUGCUACGUAACGUUGUUGAGAGGAUCUAUGCUGUCAGGGGCAGAGCGGAGCGCCAGGCGCUCGGUUUCUGUGAAACCGCCUCGACCGCCCAGGCGGCGCCCUGAUCAGACCCCCACUUUGCUGUUUAAGUGUUUAACACAAUAACACUUAACACUUCAACAGUAACCCCCCAGUUUGAUGUCUACUGUACUGACUAAUUUUCUGGACACUUUCAACAGUUAACCUUGACAUAAUUUUCUGGACAAUCCAAAAUACAAUCCAAAAUUUAAAAAAUAACAAAUUAACACUUAACAAAAAUACAAAAUAACAAUAGGAUCCAAUCUUCCAACAUCAAAUCCAAAAUUCCAACAUCAAAUCCGAAUAUCCAACAUCAAUUCAAACAAAAACAAGUUCAACACCAAAAUAAAAAAACAAUCCAACAUAAAAUUCAAAAACAAUCCAAAAUCAAAAUAAAACAAAAGCAAAUCAAAGUUCAUAUAUCAAUGUCCUCAUCGGAGCCCGACUCAAUCCCAUCCUCAUUUCUAAUAUCAUCAACUUCGAAGUUGUUAUUAUCAUCAUAAUCAUCUUCUUCGGAAGAAGCUUCAAUAUGAGGUUGAGUACGUGAACUUGAUGCUUGUGUUGCGUUGCGGCGACCACGAAUGAUAGGAACAUCGCCAUCAUCAAGUCCAUUUCCGGCAUCCUCCAAAUCUCCAUAAGUUAAUCCAUCCAUUCCUAACACAACAUCACCCCUAGCAUCUUGGGGUACUAACCACUCAACACACUCAUCAAGAGACUUCAACUCUAUUGGAUCUAUUCCUUUUCCGGAAAUACGUUCUUCAUAACGUUUUUUUAAGCUUUCUAUUGUAUUUCACAUAAAUAAGAGCUUGUAAGCGUUCAUGUUCCAAACAAUUUCUUUUCUUUGAAUGAAUCUACAAUGCAAAAUAAGUACAACUAAAUCACUUGAAAAAAUUCAAAAAUAUACACAUAGAUAGUAGAAGAAUAAUAUAAAAAUUACAAAACAACUUACAUUAGCAAAAGUACUCCAAUUCCUUUCACAAGGAGAAGCGGAACAAGUAAGCCCAAGUAUCCUUGUAGCAAACCUUUGCAAAGAGGGGACUUCACUUCCAAAAGUGACCCACCAUUCAACUAAAUCAAAAUUCAAACAAUACGAUAAAAAUAAUAAUAAUUUAAACUAGUAAGAAAAUAAGAAUAAUAGUUAAUAAUUAAAAUAAAGUACUAACCCGGAUGCAUUGUUUUCAAACAACUCAUGACAUUCUUCUUUCCUAGCCUCGUACCUCUAGAACGGUAUACCGCAAGCUCACUUAGAAUUUUGGUUUCUUGUUCCUCAUCUUCGGCAAGUUUUUCAAUGCAUUGCAACAAUCCCUCCUUAAUCACCGAAUUAGCUUCAAUCUCAAUCGAGCUUUCAACACUAGCAUAAUAAACUUGUGGGUUAAGAUAGUGAGCCGCACAAUGCAAAGGUUUUUGAAGUAAAUCACUCCAUCUAUUAUCAACAAUUUUUUCCAUUUUCCUCCACAAAUCUCGAUCUUCCAAAGUAGUUUCUCCAAUAUUUGCCUUUAUCUUAACUUUACAUAUUUCCAUAGCUGAAUAAACAUACGCCAUAGAAGGUUUUUCUUUGAUAUCCACCAUUCAAAGAACAUCCACUAUAGGUGCCAUGAUUUUCAAGCAAGUAUGCAUGUUAUUCUAAAGAUUGCUACUCUUGAUCUUCUUCACAAUUUCUAUUACAAUCUUAUUCUUUGGCCACUUACUUCUCCUCCAAUCAUCUCUACGAAUUAUAUCUCUCAAUUGUUGGUGUUUCUCAUACAUACUUUGCAAGCAUAGAAAUGUGGUAGCAAAUCGAGUAACCGAUGGCCUAAGAAUUUCCCUCUUCUUUGUUUCCUUUCUCAUCAAAUGAAGAACAUGCUUGUGGUUGUAAAUAAAGAUGGAAAUCUUUUGUGCAUCCUUAACGGUUUCUUUCACUAAAGGUAUCUUACCAACAUCUCCAAGCAUCAAGUUAAGAAAAUGUGCCGCACAAGGCAUCCAAUAGAGUGUCACCUUGCUUAAGUCGGAAUAAUGCGGUUACUUCGAUUUUUUGCCGCUUGUUAUGGAUAUAUUGAGUGACAAAGAGUGCUUCGAGUUGGUCAUACGACGUGAUUGAGCGCUCAGGUAGUCGGUGGUACCAGUCGAUAGCACUGCUUCAGAGCGAGGCUGAAAAAAGCCUGCAGAAAAUGUCCUUAUACUUGGGCCACAAGGCCAUGCUGGUUUUGAACUGUAGGACAUGGUCCAUAGGAUCACCACUUCCAUCAUAGGUUGCGAACUUGGGGGGAAUGAAGUGUGGGGGUGGUUCCUGAUGAAGAAGGUCAUCAUGUAGGGGUUAUGUUCUGUAUUUUUCAAGGGUGGUAUUAGCAACCUUUUGGGCAAUAUUGGCCUUAACAGAUUCUUGGUGACUCUUAUCUAAUUUGGCCGAGAGUUGCAGGAGGCGGUUGUGAGUUUCCUGCAUUUCGGCCAUGGUAGGGGCGGCGGUGUUGCUGGAAGUGGGGAUAAUGGGGUUGUUGGUGUUGAUUUCAUCAGUUAUGUGACCAUUUGCCGGUGGAGUGGCAGAGCUUUUGAGCUGAGCAUUUUUCGAAAGCAACUUGUUGAUCUGUUCCUGUUGGUCGCUAAGUUGCUUUGGGAUGGUUUCAAACUGUUCUUGUGUGACUCCAGCCAUGGUCUCCUUCAGGUUUUAUUCGUUCACAGUCAGUCGGCGCCAAUGUAAAUGUAGUGGGUUUUUAAGAACGAAAAAAUGAGGAAGAUGAUCGGAAAGGAAGGAUUUGGGUUUUAGGAAGUGGCUGAGCUAUCAGAGCGAUGAUAGUUGCCUACGUAUCUGGAUCGAGGUCGAUCCAGAAUCAAGCCAAACGUAGUUCCUUUUUAGGUGGCUUUUGAUGGGUUGUCAUUAAUUAUCCAACGAUCGAAUCAUAAAAAUGAGCGAAUAUCUUGGGAUCUUAAUGGGAAAGAUUUGUAACUGAAGUAAGAUUUGAAUUUGAAGUAUUGAGCUCGGUAUUUGAAAUAAGGAAGCCCCAAGUCGGACGUGCUCGGAUGUUUUUAUGUUCGAGUGGGGUUUAUGAGCUUAGGAUUUAAAAUAGGAAUGUACAAGGUAUGACCUCAAUGUGGAGUCAGAUGAAAUAAGUGCAAAGUCGGUAUUUGGUAAUCCGAGUAAGAGGAAGCUCGGUAAUGCAAAGAAGAGCAUAUCAGAUAUAGCUUCUUUUGGGGUUGGAUAAAAUAUGUGCGGAGUCCGUGUUUGGGGUACCGAGUAAAGGAGAAAGCUCGGUAGUAGGUAUAUACAAUAUUUAUUUUUUAGUUCAAAUUCGUUGUUGUUGGUUUGGAUUUGUAGUGAGGUGAAAGAGAUCUAGGUCUUUAUGUUCAUUGUGGAGAAGUUGAUGAAGGCUUUGCUAGCCUUAAGUUGGAACUUUUCUUGGUCACAUUUGGAUUUGCAUCAUCUUUUGGGAGUCUAGAGAAUUCUUGUUGAUCUAUUAAGUUUGGUAGUAGGAUGGAAUAUAUUGAGAAAAGAAAUUUUGUUGGUGGUGGAUUUAUAGGUAUUUUUGUCAAGUUACAAAAAUUGCAAGACAAAGGGCAUGAGUAUAUUUGGUAGAAUUCAUAAGAUGUGAGGCCGGAAUUGAGUGAGAGGUGAUGGAUUGUAUGAUGAGAGUAUAUUGUUAAAACUCGGGGUAGUUUGGAGUAGAUCGAUGAUGGUAAUAAAUGUUGGUGUGUUUAGAUGAGACCUGGUGCUUUCAAGGCGGUCCACACGAAUGAAUUAUGUGGAUCUUGGUUUUUUAAGUUUUUAUUCAAUUGGAAUAGCUACCCGGGCCAAAUCUCUAAACUUCUUUGUUUGGUUGUUGAACAGACAAACCAAUCUUUCUAAGCCUAACUUAGGAGUAUCACCACAAAUCUAUCUCCAGAUUACUCUCUUCCAAGUUUAUGUAUAGAUUCUGAAGAUUUGGCUCUGGAUACAAUUAAUGUUUGACAAUUCCAUUUUUUGUUGUUUGUGUUUUUUUUUUUUUUUUAAUAAAAUCAUAUAUUUUAAUAAUAAGCUCAAAGAAUUACAUAAAAGUGGUGGACAAGCGUGCUACAAGUCCCUUUUUUGCAUUGUUUUUUCUUUAACGAAUUGUGAAGGGCCUAUGUGAUGGUGGAUUUACAAGGUGGGGUGAGAAAAUCUACCUCAAAAUCACAAAAUAGCAUCUUAAUGUAAGGUGGCUGUAUUAACCAUAUUUGUGAGGUUGGUCAAUACAUUAAUGAAUGAUGAUGACCUGUAUGAUAUGAACAAUAAUAAUAAAGUAGAGACAUGAACACCAUUGUAUACGUGGUUCGGCAAUUGUGCCUACAUCCACGGAGAGGGAGAAAGAAGUUUAUUAUAGUAGUGGUGGUGAUACAAAAUGGGAGCUCAAUUAUGAGGAGAGCUCGAGAGAGAUGAGACCUGAGAGGUGGGGUCUCAUCAUAAGAGAUUAGGGAGGUCGUUGAUAUUGAGACCUCCCCAUGAGAUAGUGGUGACUAUCAGACCAUGUCUAGAAUGAGUGAUUUGCCUUCAUAUUUAUAGGCUACAAUGUAACUCCAUUCCUAACAUUUAUUGAGGUAAUGAUGAGAGAAUAUCUUUGUAGUAAUUGGCUUUAACUUUGUAACUUGUGCCAUCAAGAGAGAGUCCAUUAGAUGAUGACAUGUGGCACCAUGAUGGAUGGUAGAGAUGGUGCCACAUGUAUGUUGUAUAUAGUACCCCUACAUAAGCCCCCUCUUUUUAGGUUGAACGGAGUUCGGGCUGAAAAGAAGUAAUCGAACCGAUCUAGCCCCCAAGAUGACUGAAAUAUGGGGUUCCUUAACGAAGUCGAUCCGCCCCAAAUUUUGAUAAGCUUGAUCAUUGAGAUUUGCAGGACGCGAUGAAGGUCCCUUGUGGUAAUGGCAACUCGAUCAUAACUUUGUGUGUAGCGAGCUAGUUAGUUCCAGGGAGACCUGGUAGCUCGUUCAGAAGGCAUGUAGACGAGAUGGACAGCUGCAAGCAGGUCGUACUGAAGUGGGUCUUCUUGCAUACAUGGGUGGUUGUCUUUUUGUGGUCGAGUUGCAUAGACCUGAUACUUGUUGAUAAUGUUAGCAUGUGAAAUAUUAUAAAAUUUAGUAAGAGACUUACACUGAACUGUAUGUCUUCCUUAUGAGUUUUGUGUGUACUAUCUUUGUCGCCUUGUGAUUGGACAUUCCGAUAGAUGUGGCACUUUGGAGUGCACAUGUAGCUCGUUUGAGAAAGAGCAUUGGUUGACCAAGUGUUUUGAGAGUUACUUGGAACCUUUUGGUGCCCGAUCUAGUGAAUGGUCGCAGCGUGGAGACCUGUUUGACAAUUCUCAGGCAUGUGGCCUUUGUGGGUCUGCAUUGCGUUGGGAGUGAAUGCGUUCGACCAGGCGUGUGGCAAGAGAAUUGUGUUUGAGGUCGUCCCGCAUACGAGUGACUCACUAGUCAAUGAGGGUGGCCGUAUUGUAUAUCAAGCAUUUCACUUGUAAAGAGUUCAGUGAAAGCAAUGUGGCACAUUUGUGCAAAAAUAGCUCAUGGGGACUGAGGUCGUGUUCAUGUGACCUGCACAUAGAGAGAGCUACAAAAAAUAUCAUUAAAAGCUAAUUGUGCUAAUAAGUUAAUUUGAUUAGAUAAAGUGAGAAUAGUCCCCUGUAUGGCAUAAAUAUUGUUGGGGUCGUUGAAAGACCUGUAAUUUGAAGAGGUCGUGAUUAAGGACCUGGGGAGGUCGCGAUGGGACCUGAUAGGUCGUUGGAUUAGAGACCUGAAUGAAGUGAGGUCGCGUCGAUACCUGAGAGGUCGUUGGCUUAGAGACCUGAAUGAAGUGAAGUCGCGUCGAGACCUGAGAGGUCGUUGGCUUAGAGACCUGAAUGAAGUGAGGUCGCGUCGAGGCCUGAGAGGUCGUUGGCUUAGAGACCUGAAUGAAGUGAGGUCGCGUCGAGACCUGAGAGGUCGUUGGCUUAGAGACCUGAAUAUGUGAGGAGGUCUCUGCAAGACCUGAACAUGUGGCCAUUAAGAAUGUAACUGAUAUAUAUAAUCAUGAUCGAGUUAUGAGAAUAUAUGUUACAUAGAUGCAUAUAAUAAUCAAUUUGUGUGAGACAAAAUAGAAUGAACAGUAAGAUCAUAGUGAAUUGAUACUUAUCUUGCUUUCGUCGAGUUUCACAUACAGUAAUGGUAAACGAAAUUAAACCCCCAAUUUGGAAAUUGUGAUUGCAAUUCUGCCAAAUAGAAUUUCUUGAACUUGAAAUCACCACUUUGAGAGCCUUACAACAAUGGUGUAAUGGUGGGGUUGGUGGGUGGAAUUCGCUUGAGAAAAUCCCAAGUCCCUGUAGUCGGCGCCAAAUGUAUUAACCAUUUUUGUGAGGUUGGUCAAUACAUUAAUGAAUGAUGAUGAUCUGUAUGAUAUGAACAAUAAUAAUAAAGUAGAGACAUGAACACCAUUGUAUACGUGGUUCGGCAAUUGUGCCUACAUCCACGGAGAGGGAGAAAGAAGUUUAUUAUAGUAGUGGUGGUGAUACAAAAUGGGAGCUCAAUUAUGAGGAGAGCUCGAGAGAGAUGAGACCUGAGAGGUGAGGUCUCAUCAUGAGAGAUUAGGGAGGUCGUUGAUAUUGAGACCUCCCCAUGAGAUAGUGGUGAGAGCAUUAGACUAUCAGACCAUGUCUAGAAUGAGUGAUUUGCCUUCAUAUUUAUAGGCUAUAAUGUAACUCCAUUCCUAACAUUUAUUGAGGUAAUGAUGAGAGAAUAUCUUUGUAGUAAUUGGCUUUAACUUUGUAACUUGUGCCAUCAAGAGAGAGUCCAUUAGAUGAUAACAUGUGGCACCAUGAUGGAUGGUAGAGAUGGUGCCACAUGUAUGUUGUAUAUAGUACCCCUACAGUGGCUUUCAAGUUUCAAGGUGGGAGAAUGAGAAUCAACCUUGGGGAAAGAAACGACAUGUCACAUGUCAUCAAUUUUUUUUUCUAAGAUUUAGAAGAGUUUUAAAAUUUGUGGACUCUUGGAUGGCGGCCGACAUGGCACAUACUCACAUGUCGUCCUUUUUUUUUUCUCUAAGUUUUAGAAGUGUUGUAAAACUUUUGGAUUCUCGACAAAAAAAAAAAAAUGAUGAUAUGUCACAUGUUGAUUGAAUUUUGUAGAAAAUCCACUUUAGGGUUCCUGGCAUGGGGUAUUUUUUUGGCAUGUCAAAGCUAAAUGGCAUGCCGUUUUUGCAUGUCUUUUUCCAUGUGUCAUAUAUACAAGACUAUUUUUGCGUUGUACCAUAUAUAUUGACUCUGAUUUAUAUAACAUUUGGUAUACCUUUCGUUUCCUUAUAUGUAUGAAGUUGUAGAAUAACAUUAGCAUAUAUUUUGAUUAUUUUUAUUAAGUUUUUACAAUAUAUGUCUAUAUAAAACAUAAAAUAUAGAGUAAAACUUAAUUUUUUUUACCGAAAUUGUAUAUUUAAUAUAUAUUUAUUUCAUUGCAAAUAAAUAAUAUAGAAAAUAAUGUAUAAUAUAUAACAAAAAUUGUAUAUUAAUAAUCGCUAAAAAGAUAUGCCAAUUAUAAAAAAGGCAUGCCUAUGGCCUGCCAUGUUUGGCAUGCCUUUUUCAGUGUGCCAGGUUCCUUAAUCCACUUUCUCUCCCAAAGAGUCUAUUUUGCCUUAAGAACUCUCCACCUUGUUCCGUUUUGAGUCAACAAAGGUGUAUUUAUCUUAUGAAGUGUAUAUGCGGUGCCUAUGUGGAGAUGACUAAAUCCACCCUACAUUGAGAAUAUUAUAAUAACGUAAGAAUAAUGUGAUUGGGUAAUGAUAUGAGGAUAAUAUGAAAAUCUUAUCUUUUUGUGUUGUAGUAAGAUAGAACAAUAUAGAAAAAUGCGGGAGAUCCAUUCAUUAAGAGCAUCUCUAAUGGGUCUCCUAAAACCUAUAAUUUAGGAAUUCCAAAAAAAACAGCACCCUAACGCGUCUUCUAUAUUUUUAGCAGCCGGCUAUCCACGUAGGAUGUGGUGGGCCGGUCUGCUAAAACUUCGUCCAAAAUCGAACCAAAGAUAGGAUUAUAGGAAUGGGGAAAAUAAAAUGUUCCACGCUGGUUCAACCAGCGUGGAACUUUUUUUUUAUUAUUUUUUUAAUUCCACGCUGGUCAAACCGGCGUGGAACCCUUUUUUUUAUUAUUUUUUAUUCCACGCAGGUCAAACCAGCGUGGAACAUUUUUAAUUCCACGCAUGUCUAACCAGCGUGGAACCCUAAAUUUCAACGGCCAUAUUUUCCGAACGGCUAAAUUUCCAAACGGCUAUAAAUCACAUCUAUAUAUACAUGUUCUUCGUUUCGAUAUCUACUUCAUUUCUACUUCUUCAUUCUUCAUCUUUUUUCAUUUGAGUUUGAUACUUUUUUUUAUAUAAUUAUGGGAGAUGGUUCUGUCAAACACUUUUCGGCGCGCAUUGAAGAUCCGAAAGAUGAAAAACGUGAAGAAAUGGAGAAAGAAAUCAUCGAAGAAGAAAAACCAUUAACACCCGAAGAACAAAAGCGUAUCGAUGAUGAAUUUAAUCGACUUAUUGACGAGUAUGAAGAUGAAAUUCAUGUGCUUCCCGAAAAUUGUAAUCAUGAUUCGUUUGAGUUUGAUUAUGUAUUGGGUAAAAUGUUUUGUUCAACUUGUGGUGAAGAGUAUGAAAAUUAAAAUGUAUCGAAGGUUAAAAUAUUUUAUUUAAUUAUGUAUUGAAUUUUAAAUUUAAUUUGAUUAAUGUAUUACUAUUUUGAUUAAUAUAUUUUUAUUACUAUUUUAAACGAAUAAUAAAUAAAUCAUUAAGAAAUAACCAUAAAUUUAUCUUCUAUGGUGGUUCAACAGAAACAACCCUGAUAUCAAGCAAUAGUAUACAGUUAACAAACACUCAAACCAACCCUAAUAUCAAGCAAUAUCAAGCACUCAAAACACUCAAGGUGCACUCCCCUGACUACUCUCCCCACUUCGGCCUCGUCCACUUCGGCCCCGUCCACCUCGUCCCCGUCCGUCGCGUCUAGUGUGCCCUUGCAACUCCUAUAAUCAAAUAUAAAUACAAUUAAAAUUUAAUAACUAAAAUUAAUAAAUUUUAGGGUUUAACUGUAAUAGUAAUUAAUAAUUACUUACCAAGGCCUCUAAUGUGCUUGUCAGCUCAGCAACCCUAGAAGCACUUGCUGCGAGUUCUUCUUCAGCCCUUGUUGUGGCAGUCCUUUGCUCUUGCAACCAACCAUAAUAUCUCGCAGAAGAAUCAAAUGCUGCAUGCCGCAUCCCUUGACCAAGCAUUACAGCAUCGGCUAAGCGUGAGCGGAGAGCAGCCUGUAUUCACAAGAGUUCCCUUAGUUAUAAAUAUACAAGAUUUAACUAACAAAUAUAAAAUUAUAAAUACAAUUGUAAAUAAAAAAAAUAAACAUACCUCGUCUAAGGUAUCAAAAUCAGGUACAUGCUGUGUAACUAAGUCACGGUCGAGAAAGGGAACCGGUACAGUCCAUGUCAUACCUUGUGAUCCCAUCAACCUAAGGCUAUGUUCACCAGCCUGUUCUGCAUACUGUAUUUGUCUCAAAGGGUAAUCUUGCUGAGUAGUAGUAGGGUCUGCUGGGAAAGGAAUCUGAUACUCUGGUCGUAUGCCUCGCCAUGACACAUAAUCUACGUUACCCUCACGAGAGACGGGGGAAAUAGCUAAUGUGCCCAGAGAAACAGUGUUCCAAUAUAACUGGUACUUCAUAGCCGUAACAAACUUACAAAAAGCUGAACUAAUUGGCCAGUUAAAGGAUGAUCUACGAGCACGGAUCUGCUCUAAAGGAAGACUCACUGGAGCCAUAUCAGGUGGUGGAGGAUGAGGAAUAGCUAUCAUACCAGUCGUCUGUCGUAAACAUCUAUCCCCUAAAAACCAAACACUAAUCUCUGGAGAAACUAAAACCACUCUCGUCUGAGAUAUGAUUCUAGAGCUGUCAAUAUGUGGGACACUGUUUGAUGGUAACCCAGCCCAAGGCAUCCACCUAAUACUAUCCCAAGUUUUCUGUUCGAUCGAGGCCCUUGCUUGGUUCAACCAGCGUGGAACAUAUAACAGAUCUUGUCCCUCCCAGCCCAGCCUGCCCCAAGCCCAGCCCACGCCUCCCUACCAGCCCAGCCUGCCCCAAGCCCAGCCCACGCCUCCCAGCCUACUGCCCCAAGCCCAGACUAUGCGAAGCCCAAGUCUUCUACGCUGGUUCAACCAGCGUGGAACAGAAAAACAUUUCCACGCUGGUUGGACCAGCGUGGAAGUUAAAAUUUAGCAAAAAAAAAUAGGUUUUGCGUUAGGGUUACCCCUGAUAUAGGUAUGGAAGACCUGCUAAAAAAAGUGAUGGAAAAGUAGGUAGCACCUACGUGGAGGCUAAAUCGUCCUAUGUGUCGGCUAAAUAUGGGAGACCCAUUAGAGAUGCUCUAAUCAUGCCAUAACUUGUUGUACGAAGUAUGCCCCAACCAACCAUCAGACAAUCUCUGACCCAUCUCUUAAAUUGCAUAACAUAAUUGAUUGAACUACACCAAAUUUGCUAUUUUGGCACAUAACAUUUGGCACGGUUCUGUGGUGAGCAUAAGUUUUUGCACGGUUUGGUUGUAUUAGGCGCAGUUGAAAACCGAGGCAAAGGUAAGCUCAAUUUAAAACCGAGCCAAACUGUUAACACUACUCACAUUUUUUGCACGUGGCAUACCUGGUAUAAAGAGCCUUAACUUUUGGUCAAAAUAGAUUGACCACACCCCACGAUGUCUUCUCUAUUCUCCCACUCUCUUCUCCUUCUCCGUUUGUGUUCUUCCCCAAAUCCAGAUCUCCGCUUAAGUUUGAUCUAGAAAUUACCUUGCUUGAAAAGCUUCAGUGAAGAAGAUGCAAAAGGAGUAGGAGAAAGUUUGAGGAGAAGAAAAUUGUCUAGCUCUAGCAAAACAAUAACUCUCUAUCUUCAUUUUUAAGUUUCUUUAUCAACCCAAAGUGUUCUAAAAGAAGAAGAUGUCGAUAAUCGAACAGCUGUGUUGUGUAGGAAAUAGAAGUUGAGUUGAAACUGAAACUACAUGCUUUGAAAACCUACUACUGGAUAUGUCCAUUAAUACAAACAGAAGUACAGAACCACUACUUAUUCUUUCUAUAUACAAGUAUACAACGAACAGUUGAACCUACUACGUAGUUUGACUUAAGAGUGCUAAGAUGGCCCACUGGCUCUUGACAAAAUCAAUACCCUGUGUAAAGUGAAAAAUACCCACCCAAUCUGAAAAUUUCACACAUUUCUAUCUGUUAAAAUGUAGUAUUGGACUAUUUUUUUUUUGGUAAACAGUAUUGGACUAUUGGUUUGAUAUGCAUGGAUGACUUCUAAUGAAUGUAGUUUUUUUUUUUGGUCACAGCACUUCACUUUGAAUGAGGGUGUGAAUUUGCGCAUUUAGAAUGAAUUUGAGGUGCAUUUAAAGUGAACUGUGGUUGAUUGUUGCCUGGUGCUAUAAUUUGUUAAUUAAGCUACCACACUUUGAUCUUCUUUCAUCUUAUAUCACUUACCUCUCCUUCUCUCUCUCUCUCCCUCUCUCCGCUUAAGUUUUGAGAAACCCUAAAUCAAAAUCAAGCCCAUAUUCUUUUAUAUGCUUCCAUUUCACUGUAGAUUUUGAAAUCAUUGUCAAAGAACUUCGAUUUAAGUAUGGAAUUCUGCAAAAGGUAAGAUUGUUUUGUACUUUUUUUUUUUUUUUUACAUACUUUUUUCUCUUUGUUGUUUCUCAUCAAAUUUGGUUAUUCUUUCGGAAAGGAAGAAGAAAGAUGAAGAAGAUAGAUGUUUUCAUUUGUGAUUUUGUUCAAAUUUCAGAAAUGCUUAAAACUACCGGCAGAUUGUUCGAAUGGUUAUUCAACUGCUUGUGUUCGAAGAGAAUGUAAGUAAUGCCUUAAUAUAUACUAAUAAACCAUUUCCAUUUAAAAUUUCAAAUUCCACUUGAGCUUUGCAAUUUUACAAUUUUUUGACCCCCUAUCGUCCAUGAUAUUCUUCCUUAUUUUUGUUUUAUCAGCACAAAAUUUUUAGCGAUACCAUUAUGCAAUAACUAGAUUAACAACUACAUGAUUUGAAGAUACCAACAAUUUCAAUCGACCAUUCACUUGUUAAGACUGGAAUUCAGGUUUUGGUUUACAGGUAAAAUUGUUUGUAUGAUUAUCUUAGUGAAAAUGAUAAAAGAAAUAGAGUUGUUUUGCAAAUUAUUUUACGUAUCACUUUCAAAAUGCAGUGGAGAUCAAGAUUAUUAUGCCAUUAACCAAAAGUAGGAUACUGGUUCGAUGUCUAUCAAAAGAGUAAGGGUUAAACAUUACUGCACCCUAUAGAGUGUGGUUUGUUGUUAGCAGGUAACUUACAAGUGCUCAUUUCUGUCUUUUUAAUUGAUUCGGUUAGCUAAGGGUUUAGUGUUCAUCCCCCUUUCUCUUUUUUUUUUUUUUGUAAAAUGGGUGUUUGAAACGAUAGCCUAAAGACUGAUUUUGUUGUAGAAGCAAACAUGUUAUACUUGGAAACACCAUUAGGAGUUGGCUUAUCCUUUUCUACUGAAGUUUCUUCUAUGGUUAUGGGAGAUAAGAUAAAGGCAAGUUCAUUUCUUUCAACAUUCUUUAUAAAUCUUUUAUCUUAUGUUUCUUUCACAACCUUUUUCUAAAGAUACAUAAACAUAUUUCAUUUUAGUGCAUUUUUCCACAUUUGUUUACUGUGAUUACUGAAACUUUCUUUGUCUUUGUGUUUUUAAGCUAGGGACAAUCUUUGUGUUCUUGCAACGGCUCCUCCAAUUUUCGCCAAUACAAACAUUCAGAACAUGGAAGUUUGUUCUUCACUUGUUCAAUAAUCUAACUCAACCGGAUGUGCAUAAGGUAAGCAUUUAAACUGAACCGCUGUUUUACUUUGUCUACUCGAAUGCAUGACUUUGUCUACUUAGAAAAUUAAGUUUUUCUUGUACUGUCAACAAUUCAUGAAGACUUUCAAUUCAACAUGCAAAUGGGAGUAGCAAACCAUUGUUCGUAAUUUGAACAGAUGCUACAUGGAUUCUAAAGUUAAUGUGUUAAUAUUUAGAAAAGUACAGUUUGCCUUUUAUUUGUUUUGCAAGUGAUUUUUAAUGUUACAUGAUCAUUUUUGUUUUCGUUGUCAUUCAUUCCCCACUAUUUAUGUGUAGUUUGUAUAUGUGCGAGUACUUUUUGAGAAAAAAACUAUAUACUUUAGUUUAUCUUCAAUGAUGAUGCCUGCUUGAGGAUAACCCGAUGCAGGGUUGUUGUUAUAACCUAAAAAAUGAUGGCAUUUGAACAAUAUUUACUUUUUUGACAAUAGGAGUGCUUUAUAUUUCCAUUUUUUGGGUUCAUGUUUUUUUUUUUGGUAAAGGGUUCGUGAUUAAAAAUUAGGAACUGUACUUCAAUUAGCAAUUCAUAUUUAUUUCCAUUGUUUAUAUUUUAAAAUUCGUUUGUAUUGGAAUUGAUUAUUUAAUCUCAUGGAUGCAGGUGUUAAAAAAAGUUAAUGAGACUAAAGAGUCUUUUAAAAGAGCCUUUCAUUUGAUGGAUUGAUACAUGGAGGCCCUGUAAAUUUUGCUAUGUACUUAAAAGAUUUUUUAACAGAUUGAUGAAUAUAUUCUAUAAACAUGUUACAGGUUUAGUGGCAAUACUGUAAAUUGAACAGUGAAAUAAAAUUAAUUAUAGUUUUUUUAAAAUUUUUUUUUUGAGAUUUGGCACGGUUUCAAAAAGUGCUAAACAUAUGCCACGUGUUGUUUUAUUAAGUCCUUGGCACGGUUAUGACUUUUUUUAGCACGGUUUUGGGUUUGUGCUAAAACAUUAGCCACAUGCGAUUUUGGCAUGUUUUAGAACCGUGCCAAACCAGUUUUGGCUUAGUUUAAAACCAUGUCAAAUUAGCCUUUCUGGUGUUGUAAAAAUAUGCCCCAACCAACAAUCAAACAAUCUCUGACCCAUCUCAUUUUCAUACUAUGUCAUGUUUGAAUAGAGGAAACAUACACAUGAUACCACGUCAAACACUAUAACCAUGAGCUUGAUUAACAAGGACGGAGCUACUUGGGCACUACAUGGGGCACUGAUUUUAGAAGAAAAAAAUUAGUACAUAUGUAUAUGUUGACCCACUUUAGCCCACCUUUAGUACCCCACUAACUUCUGUUUUGGGUUUUGUACAUCAAAAUAUAUAUUAGGCUUUUACACAUAAUUUACGAAAGAGCCCAAUUUUUCUUUAAGGUAAUCGAAAAAGUAUUUGGUCAAAUAUUUUUUUCUUUAAAAAAAUAGAAAGAGACAGAGUGAGAGAUAUCAAAUAUUUUUUCUUUCUCUUCAAAAUUAUAGAAACCUUAGCUUUAUAUUUCACCUCUUCUCAACCAAACUUAUAAAUUAAACAAUUACAACUACUUAUUAACACAUUCCAUCUCUAAAAAUUGUAUUUUGGAUGUUUUUUCCCCAAUUUCUCAAUUGUCAAUAUCAAGAUACAAGUUAUUUUUUUUCAUUCCAAGGCAGUAGUUUCUUAUUUGUUUUAGAGAACAAUUCUAAUUUUUUUUAUUUUUUUAGCUAUAAAUUUAUAAAGGUUAUUGUGUGGCUAAAUUUUUUGAGAAGUUGUGUAUAAGUUUAUUCGUAAAAUAUUAUAUUGUUGCAUUUUUAGUUAAAACGAUCGUACUUUUUAUUAAUUUGUGUAAACUAUAACAUGUAGAAAAGAAAAAAUAAAAAUUUUGGUUAAUAAUAAUAAGAAAAAAAUUCCCAUUUCUAGAAGUGCCCUACUAAAAAAUAAUUUCUGGCUCCUUCCCUGUUGAUUAACACAUUUGUAAGGGAUAUAUAUAUGUUAGGACUUUCGUAUCAUUUAUAAACAUUACAAUAAGAACUGUUAAUCCUACAUUAAAUAUAGGGCUAAUUUGACUUACCCCCUCAAAAAAGUUUGCAUUCUUUGCAAUACCCUUAGAUUUAACUUUUCUUUGAGAUGCCCCCCACUUUUGCGAUUCAAGUCAGUCAACUGAGCCAUUGACCUUUAAAAGUUUUAUAUUAACAAAAAUACCCAUAUCUUUAUUUAACUUCUAUCUAGUCAUCUCACCCAAUCACCACAUAUGCCACAUCAUUUGAAUCCAAGAUUUAAUCCUCACCCUUCACCCAAGAUCUAACCCUUACAUUCAAUCCAACGGUUAAAAUUAAGUAGCCAAAGCAACAUCUUUUUCUCUAAGAGCAUCUCUAAUGGGUCUCCCAUAUUUAGCCUACACAUGGGACGAUUUAGCCUCCACGUAGGUGCCACCUCCUUUCCCAUCACUUUUUUUAGCAGGUCUUCCAUACCUAUAUCAGGGGUAUCCGUAACGUGUUUCCUAUUUUUUUGCCAAAUUUUUAUCUUCCACGCUGGUGCAACCAGCGUGGAAGACUUGGGCUUCGCGUGGUUGGGCUUGGGGCUGGGCUUGGGGGCAGUAGCUGGGCUGGGCUUGGGGCAGUGGGCUUUGGCUACAGGAUCUGUAAGAUGUUCCACGCUGGUUAAACCAGCGUGGAACUUUAAUGAAGUUUUUUUUUUUUUUAACGAAACAACAACCAGUUUACACCGUCUUCUCCAUCUUUCCGCCGCCAUUCUUCUUCCUCUUCCGCCAUUUUCAACUUCUUUCAUCUUGAUUUUGCUACUUCUACUUCUUCCUACUAAAAAAUUACACAACCAUUUAGCCAUCUUUUGUUAUUUUCUACUUCUUCCCCUCCAUUUCAUUCAUUCAUUCUCUCCAAUGACUUCUUACGACCGACAUCUUGAAAUUUUGAACCAACAACACCAAUUGCUUAUGGACUCAUCUGAUGAUGAAGAUCUUAGCACAAGGCAUAUCAAUCGUCUGCUUUCAGCUAUUUCGGCUUCUUUGGAAGAAGAAGAAAAUGUAGAAAACAUACCAAGAUGGGGAGGUUCUAAAUUUGGUCGAGCAGCUAACAGGCGUGACCAUGUUCAAUCACACAACAUGCUUAUCAACCAUUAUUUUGCAGCCCAACCUGUUUUUGGUGCAAAGCUUUUUCGACGUCGUUAUCGUAUGAGGCAGAAUAUUUUUUUGAAGCUGUAUAACGCAGUUGUUGAAAAUAAUGACUAUUUUCACCAGAAAUACGAUGCUCUAGGUGUUCCUGGACCUUCUGGCCUAAUUAAAGCGACAUGUGCACUUCGCCUUCUCUGUUAUGGGUGUCCAGCUGAUUCUCUUGAUGAGUCAAUCAAAAUAGGUGAGCAAACUGCACUCAAUUCUCUGAAGCAUUUUUCUCAAACUGUUGUCGACAUUUUUGAGAACGAGUAUUUGAGGACACCCACUCCAGCUGAUGUCGAACGUCUGCUUGCUAAAGGAGCUCAACGAGGGUUUCCAGGUAUGUUGGGAUCCAUUGAUUGUAUGCAUUGGAUUUGGAAGAACUGUCCUACAGCAGAACAUGGGCAACAUAUGGGACACCAUAAGAAAGCUACUGUUAUUUUGGAAGCUGUUGCAGAUCAUGAGCUUUGGAUAUGGCACGCCUUUUUUGGAACGGCAGGUAGUUGCAACGAUCUUAAUGUCUUAGAAAACUCUCAUGUUUUUGAUGAUAUGGUAAAUGGCAGAUCGCCUCCUUGCAACUACCAGGUGAAUGGGAAUGAUUAUAAUAUGGGAUACUAUCUUUCUGAUGGUAUCUACCCACAGUGGGCUACUCUUAUUCAAACAGAGAGAUUUCCAGGGACGCGAAAGAAGAAAGUGUUUGCCAAAGCCCAAGAAGCUGUCAGAAAAGAUGUUGAGCGUGCAUUUGGUGUUUUGCAGGCUAGAUUUGCCAUGGUUGCAAGACCAGUACGUACCUGGAACAAGGCACAGCUUGGUAUAUUUUUGAAGGCAUGUUUGAUAAUGCAUAAGAAGUCCCCUCGUGAUGAGCCUCUAUUACCUGUAAUAGUGGAGUUACAAUCAAACGAUGUAUAUGAGAUUAGAGACAUGCUUCAUCGCAUUUGUGCUGUCAGAAGUGGUCCUGCUCAUGACUUAUUGAAGCAUGAUUUGAUCGAGCAUAUAUGGCAACGUCAUGGAGGCAAUGAAGAUUUGGACUGAAUUGCUGUAGUAGUUUAUGUUUGAGUUUGUGUUUGAUUUUGAAUUUGUGUUUGAGUUUUUGUUUGAGUCCAUGUUAGUUUGUGUUUGAGUUUGUGUUUGAGUCCAUGUUAGUUUCUUGUGUUGUGUUUGAAAAGAUGAGCUUAAUGUUAUAUUAAGAAAUUUCAUGUUUUAUAAUUGCUAAUAGUACAAAACAUAUAAAAACUAAGGCCCAUAAUAGUACAAAACAUAUAAAACUAAGGCCUAUAACCUCCACUAGGCCCAUAAGGCCCAUUAGGCCCAUAACCUCCACUAGGCCCAUAAGGCCAUAGCCUCCACUAGGCCCAAAACCUCCACUAGGCCCAAAAUCAUCUGGCGCAUAAGGCCUAUAACCAAAAGGUACAAAACCAGUAGGCCUACUUGGAAUACCUUGCUGAAAAGAAGUAGGAGCAAAUGGAGUACCCGUAAAAUCAUUCUGUGAGGAAGGCCCAUUUGGAUCGUCUGGGGAUGCAGUCCACGUAGGAGAGAAGUCAUUGAUCUGUUUGUGACGCCUAUCAAAGAUUGCUUUCUGCAUCUCUUCAAAGUAUUGUUUGCGGAUAGGGUUAGCAAUUUUUUCUGUGUCUAUCAUCAUGAUAUUGGAUUCUCUUUCUACUCUUCUUUCUUCAUUUAGUCGUGCCUUUUCUUCUUCCAUCUACUGGUACAUCUUCAUCUUCAACUCUCAAUUGGCUUGUUUUAAAGCCAACUCUUUGGACGUUGUUUCAUUGACCUUUGUCAGUUGAGCUGUGUACUUAGCCCUAGAAGAACUAACAUCUCCCCCUGAAGUAGAUGAUUGUCGUGCUAGCUUUCUUUUUUCUUUUGCAGCUUUUCUUCCAGUUGGUCGCGCUGGUGGUGGUACUGGACCAUCCCCAAUGUUGAGAAAAACAUUUGGUGUAACCCCAACAUUAGUUGUACCUUCUGGAAAUUCAUUUGGGGAGUCGUCAUCACUGAGAUGGAUGUUCUGUUGGCUACGAGCAUAUGAAGCUGGAGUAUCAUCGCACAGAUUGAUGUUCUGCAUGUUCCGAAUAUUUGAAGUUGGCGUAUCGUUUGAAGCACCAGAAAACUCCGAGUCUGUGUUUGAUUUCUGCUUCUUAGAUGCAUUCACUCUUUGAAUAGUCGUAGGGGUUCUUGCUGAAGCAUAAUCCAUCCACUUUGCAGAAGUGUGCAAAUAUUCAUAGCAAUGUCCAAAUUUAAAUGGUUCCCCUUCCACAGUUUGGUAGACCGAACGAGCAGUUGUCCACUAAAAAAAUAUAAUUUAAAAAAACUAAUUAAGAAAUAAACUAUUUAUGAAUUUAAAAUAUUAGAAUUAAAAACAUAGAACCCUAAAAAAUUAAAGCCAAAAAUAUACCUUGUCUUCCUGACUGGUUCCAGAUCUAUUGAUGCGGACUUCUCGAUUAAUACGACAUAAAAAUUUUGUACAAUCAGGACUUAUUUUCGCCCAUUUCGACAUAAUUGAGUCGAGCGACCUUUUUUUUUGGAUUUCCAUUGGUGAGUAGAACAAAUUCUUCCAAAAUUUUAUCCCAAAAUGCCUAUUUGGGUUGACCAGCGCCGACGACAGCAUCUUCAAAAUUUUUUACCCAAGCUUUACAUAACGCAAUAUCUUCUGCUUUAGUAAAGUUAGACGUUCGUGGCGCCAUGCUUGAGAAAAGAGUUCUGUUGUUGUAGUUGAGUUUUGAUGAAGUUUGAAGAAAAGAAUUCCGAUGAAAAAAAAGAGUUCUGAUGAAGAAAAGAGUAUCGAUGCAGAGUUUAUAUAGACGUCGAAAUUAUAUCCGUUCGAGAUUAUAGCCGUUGAUAGAUUAUAGCCGUUGAUGGUAGCCGUUGUGAUAUAUCCGUUCGUUCCACGCUGGUUAAACUGGCGUGUAACAAAUAAAUUUGUUUUGAAAAGGUUCCACGCUGGUUUGACCUGCGUGGAAUAAAAAAAAAAAAAAUGUUCCACGCUGGUUGAACCAGCGUGGAAUUAAAAAAAUAAUAAAAAAAAAGUUCCACGCUGGUUGAACCAGCGUGAAACAUUUUAUUUUACCCAUUCCUAUAAUCCUAUCUUUGGUUCGAUUUUGGACGAAGUUUUAGCAGACCGGCCCACCACAUCCUACGUGGAUAGCCGGCUGCUAAAAUUAUAGACGACGCGUUAGGGUGCUGUUUUUUCGGAAUUCCUAUAAUUUAGGUUUUAGGAGACCCAUUAGAGAUGCUCUAAGUUUCACCACUGCCUCUACCUAACUAAAUGACCAGAUCCACCACCACUUCUAUCACCAUAACCACCACCACUUUCGCCACCACUACCACCUCCACCACAAUUAAAUCUAAAGACAAAUUCAAAAAAUGAUACCACCACAUAUUAUCCCAUCAACAACUUUAUUUCUCAAGAUUUCUUCUUUUGGUGUCACCAAAAUUAAGAAUUUCUGCCCCAAAUUCCCAAGAAAAAACAAAAUCAAGAAAUCUCCAUUAAUCAAAACCAAACAACAAAUUCACCAAUUACCCAAAAAUAACAAAGUUAGGAAAGAAGAAGAAGAAAGAUGUAUAGUGAUAAUUGAAUGAACUUGGUUUCGAAAUGGUGAGUUAAGUAGUGGUGGUGAAUCAGUAGUGGUUGUGGGUGAAGAGAGAAAUUUUAUGAUUUCGUAAAAAAACCCGUCAAAUUCCAUUGUUGAGAUUGGUUGGAAUAGGGAAGAGGAAAGAUUAGGGGUGGCAAAUGGGUCGUGUCUAUGUCGGGUCAAUAUCGGGUUACGUGUCAAAACAGGUCAACCCGGUUAUAACCCGGUUAUGAAACAGAUCAACUCGUGUCGGGUCGUGUUCGUGUCGGGUCAGUUCCGGGUCAUAUGGCCUGACACGUUUAGACACGCAAUUUUUUUAUUUUUUUAUUUUUUUUAACUUGAUAUAUUUUAAUUUAAAUAUAGAUUUGUGCUUUAUUAAUAAAUUAUCUAUUCCAAAAAUCCAUUUAUUGGCAGAUCUAACCAGUUUGUGCUACACAUUCAUCUGUCCACAGAAUGGAACUUAGAUAAAUGGCUGCUCUGCUAACUAACGAUAUUGCACAUUAAUACAGCUGUAUAUACAAGUCUGUAGACAAAAUUCUUAUAGUUUAGUCUUAUAUACUGCUAUAUGCUAACAAGUAUUUAGUCCACAUAUUCACGAAUUUGGAUGAGUGCUUCAUUAACAGGUAGAACCAAAUAGGAGAUGAAAACAACAUGACAAAAUUUACCAACCAGAUUAGUGGCAUAGAGAUGACAAUGGCAUAAUCAAAGACGACAAUUAUCUACCUCCUAUUAAAGAAGGGAUCUCAAUAAAAGUUAUAACCAUAGAUACAUCAAAUACUUGAGAUCAUUCCAAGUUUGAUAACAUAAGUUUUAUAAGAUACACAUUGUCCAGCAGAGUGUAAUACAAGUUUGAUCUUGUGACCGAAAGAUGCUUUAAAGAUUGAU
rnacentral:lncRNA from 1 species